AUGGCACUUGCUCCACGCUCGUCUCUGGCUCUGCGCUCCCUGCUGCUGCUCAUGUCGAACAGGAAGCCACAUCGGAGCUGUUUCUUCUCCUCCUCCUCCUCCUCUGCUGCCGCCGCCGCUCCUCCAGGAACAUGCACUCCGACUGCUCUUGCCGUUCAGCCUCCAGCCGAUCCAGUUCCGCUGUCAGGUUCGAGUCGUCACCUGUCGGUUGCCCCGGAAGAACGAGUUAUUCAUCCAUUUCCAUGUAGUAGCACACCUAAAAUCCCAAUCCACAAGCUUUCUCAUCCCACCCUCCAAGAUCCUAAGCACACUGAACUUGAACCCCUCACCGAAAAGCCUUCGACGUGCACCGCCCCAGAAAAUCUUACACGCCUACUUCCUGAGGAUUCAUGCAACACACUUCAGCCUCCGACCCACAAACCUUUGCCCAAGAAACAUCCUACUCAUAAACUUUCCCAUGAUCCUGGUCACGGAGUUGCUCUGGGCUCACGCAGACGCAGCUCUUCGCACGACCAACCUAGGAAUAGGAUGCAUAAACCUGCAGCCGACACGCCUUCAGCGCACACCCUGAAAGAUCCUGAACACCCGAAUCAAGAUGGUUCAUGUAGCACACUUCCACCUGUAACUUACAAGCCUUCGAAGAAAACACAUCCUAACCACAAAGUUUGUGAAGAUCCUGAUCAGCCUGGGCUGCGAAGCACUCCCAAGGACGAUCCACCACGCUCAAUUCCUGACCGAAGAUAG
rnacentral:rRNA from 1 species